UUUUUUUAUGGAGAGUUUGAUCCUGGCUCAGGACGAACGCUGGCGGCGUGCUUAACACAUGCAAGUCGAACGGAAAGGCCUAGCUUGCUAGGUACUCGAGUGGCGAACGG
rnacentral:rRNA from 1 species